GUGGGGAAUAUUGGACAAUGGGCGAAAGCCUGAUCCAGCCAUGCCGCGUGUGUGAAGAAGGUCUUCGGAUUGUAAAGCACUUUAAGUUGGGAGGAAGGGCAGUAAGUUAAUACCUUGCUGUUUUGACGUUACCAACAGAAUAAGCACCGGCUAACUUCGUGCCAGCAGCCGCGGUAAUACGAAGGGUGCAAGCGUUAAUCGGAAUUACUGGGCGUAAAGCGCGCGUAGGUGGUUCAGCAAGUUGAAGGUGAAAUCCCCGGGCUCAACCUGGGAACUGCCUCCAAAACUACUGAGCUAGAGUACGGUAGAGGGUAGUGGAAUUUCCUGUGUAGCGGUGAAAUGCGUAGAUAUAGGAAGGAACACCAGUGGCGAAGGCGACUACCUGGACUGAUACUGACACUGAGGUGCGAAAGCGUGGGGAGCAAACAGGAUUAGAUACCCCUGUAGUCC
rnacentral:rRNA from 1 species